rnacentral:rRNA from 1 species
ACUCCUACGGGAGGCAGCAGUGGGGAAUAUUGCACAAUGGGCGCAAGCCUGAUGCAGCAACGCCGUGUGAGUGAAGAAGGUUUUCGGAUCGUAAAACUCUGUCCUAAGGGAAGAAACAAAUGACGGUACCUUAGGAGGAAGCCCCGGCUAACUACGUGCCAGCAGCCGCGGUAAUACGUAGGGGGCAAGCGUUAUCCGGAAUCACUGGGGCGUAAAGGGUGCGUAGGCGGCUUAGCAAGCCAGGGGUGAAAGGCAUUGGCUCAACCAAUGUAAGCCUUUGGAACUGUUAAGCUUGAGUGCAGGAGAGGUAAGUGGAAUUCCUAGUGUAGAGGUGAAAUUCGUAGAUAUUAGGAGGAACACCAGUGGCGAAGGCGACUUACUGGACUGUAACUGACGCUGAUGCACGAAAGCGUGGGGAGCAAACAGGAUUAGAUACCCUGGUAGACUGUCA